CCCUACGGGGUGCACCGGAGGAUUUACAUCACUGAAAUUCCAUUCAUAGGCAGGUAUCUGUCCAUGGGGAUGCAGAUAGGUUUCUUUCAGCAUCAGAGCCAGCUGGCUUUUGGCAAAAUCUAUAUCUACCAUACCAAGGGCAAGUGUAUGGAAAGCCAGAUCCCAUGCGGCAUACCAUGGAUAUUCCCAUUUGUCAGGCAUUGAUACAACAUCUUCAUUUAUCAUAUGAUGCCAUUCACUGUUUCUUACACCGGAGGCUUUUAAACUCUUAAAUGGAUCGACUCCAUGUUCUUUGAGCCAUAUAUCAAGAUCAAAAUUGAAGAACUGUUUUGACCAGAGCAUUCCCGAAAGAGC
rnacentral:rRNA from 1 species